rnacentral:rRNA from 1 species
GACGAACGCGGGCGGCGUGCCUAAUACAUGCAAGUCGAGCGCAGGAAACUGACGGAACUCUUCGGAGGGAAGGCAGUGGAAUGAGCGGCGGACGGGUGAGUAACACGUAAGGAACCUGCCUCAAGGAUUGGGAUAACUCCGAGAAAUCGGAGCUAAUACCGGAUAGUUCAACGGACCGCAUGGUCCGCUGAUGAAAGGCGCUCCGGCGUCACCUUGAGAUGGCCUUGCGGUGCAUUAGCUAGUUGGUGGGGUAACGGCCCACCAAGGCGACGAUGCAUAGCCGACGUGAGAGGGUGAUCGGCCACACUGGGACUGAGACACGGCCCAGACUCCUACGGGAGGCAGCAGUAGGGAAUCUUCCACAAUGGACGAAAGUCUGAUGGAGCAACGCCGCGUGAGUGAUGAAGGUUUUCGGAUCGUAAAACUCUGUUGUAAGGGAAGAACACGUACGAGAGGAAAUGCUCGUACCUUGACGGUACCUUACGAGAAAGCCACGGCUAACUACGUGCCAGCCGCCGCCGUAA